UUGGUCAUUAGAGGAGUAAAGAUGUAACAGGUUUCCGUAGGUGAACCUGCGGAAGAUCAUUAUGAAUCGUAAAAAGGGUUGUUGCUGGUCUCAAACGGGGAAUGUGCACGCUCUGUUCACACAUCCAAUCACACCUGUGCACCCUCUGCGGUUCUGUGGUCAAGGGGGGCUUUGCCUUCCUGUGCCGUGGUUCUGCUUCUUUACACACACACACUGUAACAAAGUCUUGUGGAAUGUAUGCCGCGUUUAACGCAAUACAAUACAACUUUCAGCAACGGAUCUCUUGGCUCUCGCAUCGAUGAAGAACGCAGCGAAAUGCGAUAAGUAAUGUGAAUUGCAGAAUUCAGUGAAUCAUCGAAUCUUUGAACGCACCUUGCGCCCUUUGGCCAUUCCGAAGGGCAUGCCUGUUUUGAGUAUCAUGAACACCUCAACUCCUCAUGGUCUUCUAUGAUGAGCUUUGGACUUUUGGGGGUUUUGCUGGCCCAUUCGGUCAGCUCCUCUCAAAUGAAUCAGCUUACCAGUGUUUGGUGGCACCACAGGUGUGAUAACGAUCUACGCUUGAGGUUUUUCCACCAGGCAACCUUCAGUAAUGGGGGUUCACUGGGGCUCACAAAUGUCUUUUCUUCAGUGAGGACAGCUCUUUGAAUGUUUGAUCUCAAAUCAGGUAGGACUACCCGCUGAACUUAAGCAUAUCAAUAAGCGGAGGA
rnacentral:rRNA from 1 species